rnacentral:snRNA from 1 species
GGAAGAGAGAUCCCCACAUCUACCACCUCAAUGAUUGCCAACGUUAAUUCAGAUAAUCUAGCUAGCUAGGGGCGUGUCCUCUUCCUCUUUCACUACUUCGUGUGUGUCCCUCUCAAAGCUGUGUCAAUUGAAGAGGAUGAACUUCCCCAAUACAGGAUGACCAUUCUUCAGUCAAGUCACUGCAUUCCCCUAGUGGAAUCUCUGAAGAAGAUCUCAAGUCCAUUUGCAAAAGAGCAUAAAUAAGUUAGUGAAGUUUCCAAGACUCCAAAUGAGGUACUGCAUAGGUAGCAGUCUGCCUUU